AUGUUGAUAAGGAGGACUUGGCUACAAGUCCUAGAUGUUUAUUGCCAGGCUUCAGGUCAAUGAAUCAACUAUGAUAAAUCCUUAAUCUUCUUCAGCAAAGGUGUCCCAGAGAGCAUACGCUUGGAGAUAAAAACAUUGUUAAGUGUGCCAAACCAGACUUUGAAUGAAAAAUACCUUGGCAUGCUGUCUGACAUUGGUAGUUCAAAGAAUGGGGCUUUUAAGUAUCUUAAAGAUUGACUCUGGAGCAAGGUGCAAGGGUGGAUUGAAAACUCCAUGUCUACGGCGGGCAAGGAAGUUCUAGUAAAAGCAGUUGCCCAAUCUGUUCCUGUUUUUUCCAUGUCAUGUUUCAAAUUGCCAAGAGGGUUACACUCCUAG
rnacentral:rRNA from 1 species